rnacentral:lncRNA from 1 species
CCUGCCUGGGAGCAGCCAGGACGUGGAGGUGGAGACCCACAUGUUGGUCUGCGCGUCCCAGACAGCAUCACAGCGUCACCUGGCCGUGCCAGGUGGGGUCCCUGACGCCCACCAAGGCUCUAGAACCAGGGCUCUGCACUGUGGCCAGGCUGGUCCCAGAUGGAACUCUCACGGAGGACGUGGUCAGGUGGCUUGUGUGAAAGACGAGAAGCCCCUGAGGGAAACGGAGGAGCCCAAGAUUUGCCACAAGGACCAGCCUCCGGAGUGGGAGGAGGAGUCCGGGCCUCCCUGCCGUUCCACGGCCCCCGAGCCUCCCCAUUCCUACUCCUGGCUCCCAGGGGCACCGCUCCUCCUGCCCAGGAGAGGAGCCCCACCCCUCCUAGUGGGGGGGGCUGUAGGGCCUGGAAAGGCCUGGGAGGCCCACCCCCAUCUCCUGGCGCACAGUCAGGCUGACCCGUGAUGGACUGUGCAGAAUCUGUGGCAUUUCCCAUCAGCCGUCUGUCCGUGGUCCCAGGCACACUUUAGAGACACCUGGGUGUCCUGGGAGCUGGGAGUCUGGAGGGGCUUGCUGGGUCUGGCUCACAGAAGCACCAGCCCCAGGCAGCUCAUCUUCUCUGUGAUUCAAGGGCACUGUCCAGCUAAUGGCCAACACACAGGCCCGUUGCUGGGCAGAGAGAUCUCUGGGCACUUGUCUUGGGUUGACAGCUUACGUCUGCAGUACCAGGCUCCACCCAUCCACAAGGUGCACUCUGUCCUGAGCAGGCCACGUCUCACCACCCCAGCUCCGAGCUCGUGACCUCCAGCCCCCGUGAGCACGAGGUGCACUCUGCUCUCUUAGGGUCCUCGGGUCCUCUGUCUUCUCCCUGCUUGUGUCUUUACCUCUGUGUCCUCGAUGGUGGAAAGGCUCCUUCAUCCUGUGUGUGCCUCUGCCCUGGGUCCCCACUUGGCACAGCUCCCAGCAGCUUGCCCUGGGCUCCGAGUCGUGGGACCCAGCCCAGCCCUCGCACCCUCUCUGAGCAGGCUCUGCUCUGCCACCUGUUUUCUCGCCUGUGAGCUGGGAGGACACGCCUGCUGGGCCUGCCUGGCUUGGGGAGCCAAGGACAGAGGACACGGGCGGGAGCAGCCCUGCACCCACCUGGGGCGAGCAGUCCCCACCCUGUGGGACACACAUUGCUGUUAUUCAAGAUGCUCAGCUAUGGUGGUCUGUGGUGGCAGCUGAGCUGACCAAGAUGAUGUUCAGUGUGCCAUCUGGCCUAGCUCAUAGGGGGACAUUUGAAGAAUGUCACUGGCCCCUUCCCGUUGCAUUCCCUGAGCUCACGCCCCAGGGGGUCGGCUCUCUUCUCUAUUAGAGGCCACAGUUCCAAGGGUCCCAGGGCUGCAUCAAUCCUUCCUCUGGAGGAGGCCAGGCAUGGUCACCUCUCCAUGUCACCUGCCGGUGCACAGGUGUGAAGGCACAGGAGACUGGAGCUUGCUGCAGGGUUUGUGCACAUGAUGGGACGGGCUCAUUUCAUUUGGAAGGUCAAGUCAACAUAGGGGAGCAAUGAGCUGAGCCCAGAGAGGGCGAGGAGACUGGGCUGCAGUCUGCGGGGCUCUAGGGGUGCGGGGGCUGAAGGCUGCGUCCACACAGCAGAGAGAGGAGAGAAGCAGUUCUGCACCCCAGGCUGCGGGGGGUCCCCAGGUGGGAGUGCUGCAGAGUCCUGGGGAGCUGCUGGUGCCCGAGCGGUCAC